CACCGGGCCGGGGGAGCGGCCGCGCUGGGCCGGGCGGGCGGGUGGCGGGGGUGCGCUCGGGGACCCGGGCCGCGUGGGCGCCGGGAUGGAGGGCGCCAAGGGGCGGGGAGCGGGCGUGCGUGUGUGUGCGAGUGCGAAUGCGAGGGAGGCCGGCCUUGAGUGAAACCGGAGCUACAAAGAAGGGGAGAGUCCGGGAGCGGGAGGGCGCGAGGGAGGAGCGGCGGCGCCGGGGCAGCUCCGACGCCCUCCCGCGGGGAAGGAGCCCCCGCGGUGCCGCCGAGGCCCCGACGCGGGGCCGCCCCUCGGCUCGCCGCCCCGCGCCCGCGCCCGCUGGGAAUGAUGAAGAAGAACAAUUCCGCCAAGCGGGGACCUCAGGAUGGAAACCAGCAGCCUGCACCGCCCGAGAAGGUCGGCUGGGUCCGGAAAUUCUGCGGGAAAGGGAUUUUCAGGGAGAUUUGGAAAAACCGCUAUGUGGUGCUGAAAGGGGACCAGCUCUACAUCUCUGAGAAGGAGGUAAAAGAUGAG
rnacentral:lncRNA from 1 species